rnacentral:tRNA from 1 species
GGGCAGGUAUGCCUAGCGGCGAGGGCAAGGGACUGUAAAUCCCCCACAAAGAAACAUCAGAGGUUCGAUUCCUCUCCUGCCCA